rnacentral:lncRNA from 1 species
GGCCUUCCAAGAUAAAUUUUGGUACUGUCGAGGUGUUGGUAGGCUGCAUGGCCUGCCCUAAGUCACUCUUUUUUCUCUCUUGUUUAGUUCUUUUUUUAUACGUUUUUAUUUGAUAAUUACUGUCCAAUCAUAGACUAACUAGGCUUAAAAGAUUCAUCUCGCAAUUUAUAGACAAACUAUAUAAUUAGUUUUUAUUUUUGACUAUAUUUAAUGCUUCAUAUGCCGUAAGAUUCAAUAUGACGAAUAAUCUUGAGAAGUUUUUUAUUUUGGUUGAACUAAACAAGGCACUAGAUAAAUGCUAGAGUGUUGCAUGCAGAGCAAUUUUUUUAUUCAAAUGCAGGGCAAAUCCAGGAGAGUUUGUCGGGGUCCAGCGACCCCGAUGAAAUUUCUAAAUCCUUUAGCAAUUACUGUUCAGAACUCAAGAAAUUUUAUACCAUACCAUGAAUUUGACCCUGAUAACCCCAAUGAUAAUUUUGGCUAAAUUCGCCACUGAUUGGACGUGAAUGUAUGAGCCAUAUGAGGACUUUAUAUUGGAUACGGACAUGUAGAUUUGGUCUUCAUAUUAAAAUCGGGUAGGACAUGAACACGUGAGCUUUAGCUUUGAAGACUUUGCAUCGGAUACGGAUACAUAGAUUUGUUCUUCAUAGGGUAUGACACAAACGCAUGUCGGGUGAAGGAUGAGAUUUUGACAUGAUCACUUGAAAUUGAUUAAAUUAAGUUUACUUUUCUCAUAUAUCCUAUUAGUUUACUUUUCUUUUAUUUUUUGAUUCGGCUGAAAAUUAAUAAAUGCAUAGUAAUUUAUAGAAAAAUAUAAAAAUUACAAACAAUUUUUAUUGAGCUCCACAUAUGUAGAUUCAUGCAGUAAACAAAAAAUAUCACAAAUUUUAGUACAUUUUUUUGCUGGAGAUGCUUGCAUAUGCUUUUUAGUAUAAAAUUAAAAUUAUAGUUAUCUUACUCCAAUUAUUAUAAUAAUUUUAUGGUAGUCUAUUUAAUGUG